rnacentral:rRNA from 1 species
UACGAAGGGGGCUAGCGUUGCUCGGGAAUCACUGGGCGUAAAGCGCACGUAGGCGGACUUUUAAGUCGGAGGUGAAAUCCUGGAGCUCAACUCCAGAACUGCCUUCGAUACUGAGAGUCUUCGAGUUCGGGAGAGGUGAGUGGAACUGCGAGUGUAGAGGUGAAAUUCGUAGAUAUUCGCAAGAACACCAGUGGCGAAGGCGGCUCACUGGCCCGAUACUGACGCUGAGGUGCGAAAGCGUGGGGAGCAAACAGG